rnacentral:rRNA from 5 species
GACAAAUGAUUGGGGUGAAGUCGUAACAAGGUAGCCGUAUCGGAAGGUGCGGCUGGAUCACCUCCUUUCUAAGGA